rnacentral:rRNA from 1 species
CGGGACGGGUGAGUAACACGUGGAUAACCUACCUAUAAGACUGGGGUAACUUCGGGAAACCGGAGCUAAUACCGGAUAAUAUAUUGAACCGCAUGGUUCAAUAGUGAAAGACGGUUUUGCUGUCACUUAUAGAUGGAUCCGCGCCGCAUUAGCUAGUUGGUAAGGUAACGGCUUACCAAGGCAACGAUGCGUAGCCGACCUGAGAGGGUGAUCGGCCACACUGGAACUGAGACACGGUCCAGACUCCUACGGGAGGCAGCAGCG